rnacentral:rRNA from 1 species
GACGAACGCUGGCGGCGUGCUUAACACAUGCAAGUCGAACGGAAAGGCCCUGCUUUUGUGGGGUGCUCGAGUGGCGAACGGGUGAGUAACACGUGAGUAACCUGCCCUUGACUUUGGGAUAACUUCAGGAAACUGGGGCUAAUACCGGAUAGGAGCUCCUGCUGCAUGGUGGGGGUUGGAAAGUUUCGGCGGUUGGGGAUGGACUCGCGGCUUAUCAGCUUGUUGGUGGGGUAGUGGCUUACCAAGGCUUUGACGGGUAGCCGGCCUGAGAGGGUGGCCGGCCACAUUGGGACUGAGAUACGGCCCAGACUCCUACGGGCGGCAGCAGUGGGGAAUAUUGCACAAUGGGCGGAAGCCUGAUGCGGCAGCGCCGCGUGCGGGAUGACGGCCUUCGGGUUGUAAACCGCUUUCGCCUGUGACGAAGCGUGAGUGACGGUAAUGGGUAAAGAAGCACCGGCUAACUACGUG